GUGGCUUUGUAGCGGGCCUGAAGCGACGUAGAAGAAGUCGAUAGGUUUGGCGGGAAGGAUUAAUCGGCUAAGAUUUGAAAGAAAAAUUUAAAGUCAAGACCAUGAUAUCGAUCUCGGGGCCAGGGAUACAUGCUGCCACCCUUUGACAGGCACAGGGUUACUUUGACCUGUUAACAGGCGCAGGGUUACUUUGACCUGUUAACGCGCAGAGAUGCUUUGGACAUCUGACAGGCCAGGUCGAAUUCCUUUUCCGGUUAAAGAUCUCGUCGAGAACGGGUGUGCGCGCAAACGAAUCUUUUGUAAGAAGUGCCAUCAUAGGAAAAUUCCAUUGUGAAACAACUCGACACGGUACGGAAAAGACAUACCUUUCGGUUGAUCGCGAUAUUUUGGCUCACGCACCCGCUGAUUCCCUUGCUCGUACAAGUGGAGUGACGGGGCACGGGAGUCUCGCGACAGAUCCUGCUCGGAGGAAAGACGCCACAGCUUCAAAGACCGGACGGCCUUUCGCUUAUUGCGUGGGGCAGCGACCCACGCUAUUUAAACGCACCCCAUCGUCCAGUCGCCGGCUAAGUAAGCCGCAGAGCGCAGUCUGCCGGGGGCGGGAAUAAGCAAACGCCUUCCCGCUUGGGACCCUUCGCCUGCCUGGAGCACCCUAGACAGAAUUAAACAGCAGCGCGCGCCAAGGCGCGUGAAGAAGAAGCAGGAGCAAAUCAGGGAUGCUGCAGUGCUAAAGCCACCUGCGGCCAUCGUUCUCUUGGUUGCCCGAGCGCAGACCAUGCUGCAGUGAUAAAGCCAACUGCGGCCAUCGUCUUCCUGGUUGCCCAAUCGUCGGCCAAACAGAGGCAGAAUUCUCCGACUUCGGCUGUCCUCUUCGCCCCGACUCUGUCCAGGAUUCCUCUUCCAGCAGCUUCAGGGAGCACAGUUCACCAAAUCAUAGGGUUCAGCGGAUGCUAGCCUCGUCUAUUACCAUCCUAAUGUUUAAAGUAUAAAAAUCUCAAAAAAUUUGUAUAUUCAUGAAGAAUAAUUAUCAGCCAACCUCAUUAA